GGGGAUGUGGCUCAGUGGUAUAGUGCUAGCCUUGUAUACACAAAGCCCUGGGUUUGAUUCUCAGUAUCACCA
rnacentral:tRNA from 1 species